UCAGAUGGGGAUUAACUCUGAUGUGUAAUUUAUGCUCCAGAUGUCCCCUUGAGGGAUCAAGCCAAAGCCUCCUUCAGUAGGACUUGGCAUGAACUCAUGCUCUCCUUGGCUUCUUCCCCUUUCCCUUUCUGGUUUUGCUUUUUUUAUUCCCUUGCCAGUUUCCUCUGGGAGUUUUUCCUUAAUAAAUCACAUAGCAUACAAAGCAUUCUCUCAGGGUCGGCUUUUUACCCAAAAAAUAAUCACAUAAUUUAAUUAUCCCGGCCAGGAAACAUACUUGAGUGUGAAUGGGAAUGCUGUUAUUAGUUGUGCUGGGAAGGGGGUAUAGAUGGCAGUGGUCCAGGACAAAUUAGGAUGCAUGUUCAUCCUAGGGCUACAUGAUGCUUUCAGAGUCAGUCCUCGAGAAAGCCUUUAAUUCCGAGUUCUUUUAAGAUAAUGAAACAUCACUGUGCUGCACUGAUUGAACGUUGCUUAACAUUUUAUUGUUUCUAAUAUGUCCCCAGUAUAAGUCUUUAUUAGCUCAUGGUUGGCAUUCUUUUAGAGGCUGCCUAAUUCCUACCCCCUACCCCAAGACUCCUUUCUUGCCUUCUCAUCCCACCCAUUGUCCCUCCCACUGCAUUCUAGCUUAAAGUCAUAGUUUCCUCUGGAAACAGCCUCCCUUUAGUAUCUCAUGCGACUUAGCAGCAUCCCGAAAUUGCCCCUCACAUACUCUCCUAGAGAACUCAAAAGCACAGAUGCAAAAUGAACUCUAACAAUAGGCCAGAACAUCCCACAUUUUUGAAGGACUCCAGGAGAAUUAACCUUUCUAUAAAAUGAAUGCUGGCUGUUCAGCAGGAAGGCCAGAAGGCAAAGGGGCAGCAUGGCACCAUUCAAGAAGCACCAGCCUGGGAGACCGAGGACAAGGGACCAGGAAUAGAACUACACCACUGGGAAUUCCUCCAGAAGCACAAGAACUAGAUAUGAAGGAUAAAACUGUUCACUGGUCCAGGUCUCUGAUAAAAUUACUAUGUAAGCAUCAAAUUCUUAUGUCAUUUAAUAUCAGAGUAAAUGGUAAUUAGAGAGAAACUGAUGGAUUAGCUUAGCUGUGAAGUGUAAUGGUUGCAAAAUUAAAUACACUAAGUAGAAAUUUUAAGCAUAACCACUUUCAAAGGAAAUAGAAUUUUCAAAUAGCCUCUUUGGAAGAUUACUUAAUUCGUGUUUAUAAAUUAUGUUAAAGAUGAAAAGCCUUAUUAAAUAUUAGAGCAUCAUCUAAUACUCUAAUUUAUGUGCAGAAUGACAAUUAUCAAAUUGUAAUUAAAUAGUGAGAGAGCAUAAUGGUAUAAGGCUUUGAUAAAAGGCCUUGAUUACUAGGAUCAGGAUCUAAGUUGAUUGGUCUUAGGCAGCCUCUAUUUUCUCUUGUCAGACUAAAUGCAAUUUUCUUUUCAUGAGAAUUAAAAAAUUUAAGAUCAGAGUGUUUGGAUUUAGUUUGACAUUCUAAAUAUCAUUGUUAAUUGAUUUUGACAGAGCUAAUCAAUUGUCUUCUUUAAAUCUUAAAUUAGGAGUUCUCGUCAUGGCUCAGGGAUUAAUGAACCCGACUAGUAUCCACAAGGCCAUGGGUUCGAUCCCUGACCCUACUCAGUGGGUUAAGGAUCCAGUGAGCUGUGCUAUAGGUUACAGACGCGGCUCGGAUCUGACGUGACUGCGGCUGUGGCAUAGACCUGUGGCCACAGUUCCGAUUCAACCCCUAGCCUGGAAAUCCUCCACAUGUUGCAAGUGCGGCCCUAAAAAAAAACCUUAACAUUAAAGAAGCUAACUUAAUCCUAUCUCCUUUAACUCUUAAGACAUAAGGUAAUGUAGAUAUUUAUACAUGAAUAAUUAUUAUAUUGUUAUAGUAAAAUUACUAUAAUCAUUCAUUUGUUUUUAUAUAUGCAUGUUUACAUACAUAUAGAUAUGAAAAGUGAUUAAAAUAAGAUAUAAAAAGUUGUGUAUAUUAUGUUUUUUAAUAGUGGACCUAUAAAAAUCUCCUCAGUGAAUUUCAUGUUUUCAUUUAAC
rnacentral:lncRNA from 1 species